AAACCAUGCAUCGGGCAUUUUCGUAACAAGUCUUUAAAUCGCUCCAAAGCUUCAUACAAUUUCUCAUCCUUCAAUUGCUUGAAAGAUGUAAUGUCAUUACUUAAUCU